rnacentral:rRNA from 1 species
UACGGGGGGGGCAAGCGUUGUUCGGAAUUACUGGGCGUAAAGGGUUCGUAGGUGGCUCGCUAAGUCAGACGUGAAAUCCCUCAGCUUAACUGGGGAACUGCGUCUGAGACUGAUGAGCUCGAGUGCAGGAGAGGAACGCGGAAUUCCAGGUGUAGCGGUGAAAUGCGUAGAUAUGCGGAGGAACACCGAUGGCGAAGGCAGGUCACUGGGCCGCAACUGACGCUGAGGAGCGAAAGCAUGGGGAGCGAACAGG